AUUGAACGCUGGCGGCAUGCUUUACACAUGCAAGUCGAACGGCAGCGCGGGCUUCGGCCUGGCGGCGAGUGGCGAACGGGUGAGUAAUACAUCGGAACGUGCCCAGCAGUGGGGGAUAGCUCGGCGAAAGCCGGAUUAAUACCGCAUACGACCUGAGGGUGAAAGCGGGGGAUCUUCGGACCUCGCGCUAUUGGAGCGGACGAUGGCAGAUUAGCUAGUUGGUGGGGUAAAGGCCUACCAAGGCGACGAUCUGUAGCUGGUCUGAGAGGACGACCAGCCACACUGGGACUGAGACACGGCCCAGACUCCUACGGGAGGCAGCAGUGGGGAAUUUUGGACAAUGGGCGAAAGCCUGAUCCAGCAAUGCCGCGUGUGUGAUGAAGGCCUUCGGGUUGUAAAGCACUUUUGGCGGGAACGAAAAGGACUGUGCCAAUACCACGGUUCGAUGACGGUACCCGCAGAAUAAGCACCGGCUAACUACGUG
rnacentral:rRNA from 1 species